rnacentral:rRNA from 1 species
AAACCAACUGGGAUUACCUUAGUAACGGCGAGUGAAGCGGUAAAAGCUCAAAUUUGAAAUCUGGUACUUUCAGUGCCCGAGUUGUAAUUUGUAGAAUUUGUCUUUGAUUAGGUCCUUGUCUAUGUUCCUUGGAACAGGACGUCAUAGAGGGUGAGAAUCCCGUUUGGCGAGGAUACCUUUUCUCUGUAAGACUUUUUCGAAGAGUCGAGUUGUUUGGGAAUGCAGCUCAAAGUGGGUGGUAAAUUCCAUCUAAAGCUAAAUAUUGGCGAGAGACCGAUAGCGAACAAGUACAGUGAUGGAAAGAUGAAAAGAACUUUGAAAAGAGAGUGAAAAAGUACGUGAAAUUGUUGAAAGGGAAGGGCAUUUGAUCUGGAAAUUACACUGGGCCAACAUCAGUUCUGGCGGCAGGAUAAAUCAUUAAGAAUGUAGCUACCUCGGUAGUGUUAUAGCUUUUGGAAUACUGCCAGCUGGGAUUGAGGACUGCGCUUCGGCAAGGAUGUUGGCAUAAUGGUUAAAUGCCCG